rnacentral:misc_RNA from 1 species
AUCAGGGCGGACUCUGCUGGUACCAUAAAUCCACAUAUCCCAAGCAAAGCAGCAGCACAAAUGGAUCGAAGCAAACUAGAUUUUCCACCCCCAUUUGGACCAGUCAAAAGAAAUAACGAUUCCAUCUCAAUACUAUUCUGCACAGCAUUGCCUUCCACGGCAUCAAACCAAUAGGGAGAUAGUCCAAUCAGCUUCAUCCCA